rnacentral:rRNA from 1 species
GACGAACGCUGGCGGUAUGCUUAACACAUGCAAGUCGAGCGAGAAUCGUUUUGCUGAAGGCUUCGGUCUGACGCAGAAUGAGGAAAGCGGCGAACGGGUGAGUAACGCGUGGGCAACCUGGCCUUAAGAAAAGGAUAGCCCCCGGAAACGGGGAGUAAUACUUUAUGAGAAUGAAAGAGGGCAUCCUACUUUCAUUCAAAGCGCAAGCGCUUAAGGAUGGGCCCGCGUAUCAUUAGCUAGUUGGUGAGAUAACAGCCCACCAAGGCAACGAUGAUUAGCCGGUCUGAGAGGGCGAACGGCCACAUUGGAACUGAGAGACGGUCCAAACUCCUACGGGAGGCAGCAGUGGGGAAUAUUGCGCAAUGGAGAAGAACUCUGACGCAGCAAUACCGCGUGAGCGAAGAAGGUCUUCGGAUCGUAAAGCUCUGUUAUCAGGGAAGAAGAAAAUGACGGUACCUGAUGAGCAAGUCCCGGCUAACUACGUG